GAUGAACGCUGGCGGCGUGCCUAAUACAUGCAAGUCGAGCGAACAGACGAGGAGCUUGCUCCUCUGAUGUUAGCGGCGGACGGGUGAGUAACACGUGGAUAACCUACCUAUAAGACUGGGAUAACUUUGGGAAACCGGAGCUAAUACCGGAUAAUAUAUUGAACCGCAUGGUUCAAUAGUGAAAGACGGUUUUGCUGUCACUUAUAGAUGGAUCCGCGCCGCAUUAGCUAGUUGGUAAGGUAACGGCUUACCAAGGCAACGAUGCGUAGCCGACCUGAGAGGGUGAUCGGCCACACUGGAACUGAGACACGGUCCAGACUCCUACGGGAGGCAGCAGUAGGGAAUCUUCCGCAAUGGGCGAAAGCCUGACGGAGCAACGCCGCGUGAGUGAUGAAGGUCUUCGGAUCGUAAAACUCUGUUAUUAGGGAAGAACAUAUGUGUAAGUAACUAUGCACGUCUUGACGGUACCUAAUCAGAAAGCCACGGCUAACUACGUG
rnacentral:rRNA from 1 species